GAUGAACGCUGGCGGCGUGCCUAAUACAUGCAAGUCGAGCGAACGGACGAGAAGCUUGCUUCUCUGAUGUUAGCGGCGGACGGGUGAGUAACACGUGGAUAACCUACCUAUAAGACUGGGAUAACUUCGGGAAACCGGAGCUAAUACCGGAUAAUAUUUUGAACCGCAUGGUUCAAAAGUGAAAGACGGUCUUGCUGUCACUUAUAGAUGGAUCCGCGCUGCAUUAGCUAGUUGGUAAGGUAACGGCUUACCAAGGCAACGAUGCAUAGCCGACCUGAGAGGGGAUCGGCCACACUGGAACUGAGACACGGUCCAGACUCCUACGGGAGGCAGCAGUAGGGAAUCUUCCGCAAUGGGCGAAAGCCUGACGGAGCAACGCCGCGUGAGUGAUGAAGGUCUUCGGAUCGUAAAACUCUGUUAGUAGGGAAGAACAUAUGUGUAAGUAACUGUGCACAUCUUGACGGUACCUAAUCAGAAAGCCACGGCUAACUACGUG
rnacentral:rRNA from 1 species